GUGCUCCCUUGGAUGCUCAGCAGGUCACCAAGCCUGGAGGUACUGCUCUGCUUGCACACGUGAGGGAGCUGCUGCAGCAAAAUCUGCCUCCUUCAGAGUGCUGGCCUGGGGUCCUCUCCCGUCACGAAGCAGUGGUUGAUUCUAGACACACGUGGGCAAGACAGCUUUGCAAGGUGGGAAAGGCUCCAUCUGGAAAUCCACCUCCAACUUCUUUGCCCAGCAGAGCUAACAAAGCUGAAUCUGCAGUUCUGGGGCUCACAGGAGGAAAUAAAACCCCUCUCUAUUAAAAGGAUACGACAGUAUAUGGAAGAUACAAAGGGUUGUUAAAUAAAGGUCUGUCCUGCUGUAUGCACCUUUUUAGUGAUAUAUUUUUAAAUUACAAGAACUGAAUUUUCCUAACCCAGUAGCAAAGGACUCUGGGACACAGUAAAGGACAGAAAUGCACUUUAAACAUUUGUUACUGUAAAGAUUUCCUCUCCUUGGUGAAUGUUUAAAAGAAGAUGAAGUCAGUGGAAUUGUGGCUCACAAGAGGAGGGGGAAACCAUCAAUAACAGUCCACAGAAGAUUUUCAAGGCACUGCUACAAAGGCUGCAUCCACUGCCUCAAGAACUAUGGAAGCAAUCAGGAAAGUGAAAAAGUCUUUGACUGACAAGCAGAGCAGCCUGUUUUAUACUCAGUGAAGGCAACCGUACUGAAGACACCAAAGGACUGAGUUUGCUGUGCUAAUAAGUGUGUUUUACAGGGGUGAACUAACUGUUCCUAUAAAUAUAUAAUGGGCAGAACUCCUGCAAGUUUUGGUGGAAACUUCUGCUGCUUUUUAGCAGCCAAGCCUGGGAAUUCAUGAGUUGAAGAACUGAUCAAGGGAGGAUUAAGUUGGUCUGACCUCCACUGGGAUGGAGAAAGUAGUAAUUAGUGCAACUAUGCAAAACUGUCAUGGUGCAUAAAUGUCCUCCAAUAUUUAGCAGGGAACGUGGUUUGUGUGUGAUGGUGCUGAAAUGCAGAGAUAUCUGGGGUGAAACAUGAGUCAAAUGGAACUGUGUGUAGCUGAAUGGCCAUAGAUUUCUAUAAGCUCACUGGGGAGCCUCUUAACCAUGAGCUUUAAAAUGGUGCAAGGGCUUUAAUGGCUGUGCAGAAGAGACAAAUUCUCUAUUGUUAAAGCCUGGCAGAAAAGGCCCAUGCAGAAUAAACUGCACAGUUAAUCUAAGCAAGAAAGGAGAAAGCUUGUGUUGACCCUGACAGUUGGAAGUCAUAUAAACCUUAUCUCCCACUGAAAUUAUCAGAUUAUAGGAUGGUCUGAGCAAAACAGAGAGAGAUUUGAGAGGAAUAUGUACCCUGGACCACCAUCAGCACAGUGGUACAGUCCAGCACAGGAGGGAGGGUGGAACAAGAUGAGGAUUUACAUCCAAAUCUGCAGGGCUUUGGUUUGGAUUUCUUCUAUUUGUUGCUUUUAUUGGGUUAUAUUUUGCCCUCCUGCAGCCACACAGCUUUCAUUAGAUUCUAUGUGCACCAAGGGGAGGAUGCAGUGUG